rnacentral:rRNA from 1 species
CUGCAGCUCAAGUGGUGAUCAUUAUUAUUGGGCCUAAAACGUCCGUAGCCGGUUUAGUAAAUGCCUGGUUAAAUCGUGUAGCUUAACUAUACAACUUCCGGGUAGACUACUAAACUUGAGACCGGGAGAGGCUAGAGGUACUCCUGGGGUAGAGGUGAAAUUCUGUAAUCCUAGGGGGACCACCAGUGGCGAAGGCGUCUGACUAGAACGGGUCUGACGGUGAGGGACGAAGCCCUGGGGCGCAAACCGGAUUAGAUACCCGAGUAGUCC